UUACAGACCACACCCCGCAAACCAAGACCUCUAGGGUGUAUAAAUCACGUCUUUCAUAUCCUGUCUAAGGGUGACAGGAAAUAGUAACUCCA
rfam:Synechococcus phage S-SM1, complete genome.